GCAAACUUGGUCAUUUAGAGGAAGUAAAAGUCGUAACAAGGUUUCCGUAGGUGAACCUGCGGAAGGAUCAUUAUCGAGUUUUGAAAUGGGUUGUAGCUGGCCUUACGGGGCAUGUGCACGCCCUGCUUCAUCCACUCUACACCUGUGCACUUACUGUGGGUUUGGGAGGUGAUGUGGGCUUGUUCACAAGCCCACGGAGCCUUUUGAAUCUACGUAUUACUAUAAACUCUUCAGUAUCGGAAUGUGUAUUGCGAUGUAACGCAUCUAUAUACAACUUUCAGCAACGGAUCUCUUGGCUCUCGCAUCGAUGAAGAACGCAGC
rnacentral:misc_RNA from 1 species